UUGGAACCACCCAAAAUCUAGUUUUUCCAUGUUAACAUUUGGUCUUUUACCUAAUUUUGGUGAAAAAUCAUUGUUUUGUAACAUUUAUAAUUUUUUUAGUUAACAAAAAAUGAUGAAAAACCUUGGAACCACCCAAAAUCUAGUUUUUCCAUGUUAACAUUUGGUCUUUUACCUAAUUUUGGUGAAAAAUCAUUGUUUUGUAACAUUUAUAAUUUUUUUAGUUAACCCUUUCCCCCAUGAGCAUAUUGUGAAAAAUGGCCAUUUUCACUGAAAAGCCUCCUCUCACAAGUUCAAACUGCUAUGAAACUAUGAAAAAUGCUACAAUACUAAUCAAACUUGGCACAAAUGUUGACUGGACCAUUGCCUUUGUAACGACAUGCUCAGUCUUAAAUUUCCUGUUACCAUGGCAACGAGGGGACAUCUCAAAAUUGCCAAAAAUCACUUUUUUGCCUCGAUUUUUUCCAUCAAAAUUUAUUUCAAAGUGCUGCAACUUCUCAAGGAUUGAGAUAGAGUCAAAGGCUUUUCAGCGUUGGUUACACGUUAUCUUAUGAUCGACCUGGGGUCAUUUAAAGCCUCUCACAAGUCCAAAAUUUUCUUGGCGAUGAGGGGGACUCCGCCCCCCUUCAAACCCCCCAAACAGAAGGGGGCACAUCCCCUUCUGGCAACCCCCUGAUGUAAUAUUUGGAUGGGGGAUGGCGCCGAAAAAAUGGUCAAUUUUUUUAACAACAUUUCUCAAACGAAAAACAGUGUUUGGGGCCUAAAUAGGGCAUUUUUUCACUGUUUGAGGCCUCAAAAAGGGGGGGGGGCAAAAAGCCGUCGAAACACGCUUAUAUAAGGGAAAAGGUUAACAAAAAAUGAUGAAAAACCUUGGAACCACCCAAAAUCUAGUUUUUCCAUGUUAACAUUUGGUCUUUUACCUAAUUUUGGUGAAAAAUCAUUGUUUUGUAACAUUUAUAAUUUUUUUAGUUAAC